AAAGGGUCCGCAGGCGGAUUUAUAAGUCAGUGGUGAAAUCCUAUCGCUUAACGAUAGAACUGCCAUUGAUACUGUAAGUCUUGAAUUCGGUCGGAGUGGGCGGAAUGUGUAGUGUAGCGGUGAAAUGCAUAGAUAUUACACAGAACACCGAUAGCGAAGGCAGCUCACUAGGCCUGAAUUGACGCUCAGGGACGAAAGCGUGGGGAUCAAACAGGAUUAGAUACCCUAGU
rnacentral:rRNA from 1 species